CAGUUAAUCCAGCCAAAGCCAGUCACAAGCCUGGUUGAUAAAUGGGGAGUGGCUG
rnacentral:ribozyme from 2 species